rnacentral:lncRNA from 1 species
GAUAAUAAGUUUCCUGAGGCCUCCCCAGCCAUGCAGAACUCAGGAAGUUUCACAUCACUAGAGAAGAGAGAAGAAGGACAUUUGUACUGGGAGGAGUCGACCGGUCCCAGUAAGGAGAAAGUAGCUACAGCGUCAUGGGUGAGCUGGGUCCCCCAAAAAGGAACUUUAAGGGAAUGGACUGAAUCAAGUCUGAGAUGUCCCCAAAGCAAGACCAAAGAACUGAGGAAGAGAAGCAUUCAUCAGAAACCAAAAUUCAGCUACAAGUGAGCAUCCAGAUGGAGGUAUUAUGAAGAGGAACUGAGACUGAGGGCAAAAGGUGCCAGCCAGAAUCCUGGAUAGGAGAGCAAGAACCAGGACCUCAUUUAAGAGACAACCUGCUUAAGGCAGAGUAAGCACAAAUGGGCACUCAACAUCAAUGAAGUAACAGCAAAGUCACAUAAUAAAAGCAUGGAAUUAAGACAAGCUGAAGAUUCGGAUGCAAUAAAACAACCACCCAUUAUUA